GACGAACGCUGGCGGCGUGCUUAACACAUGCAAGUCGAACGGAAAGGCCCUGCUUUUGUGGGGUGCUCGAGUGGCGAACGGGUGAGUAACACGUGAGUAACCUGCCCUUGACUGUGGGAUAACUUCAGGAAACUGGGGCUAAUACCGGAGAGGAGCUCCUGCUGCAUGGUGGGGGUUGGAAAGUUUCGGCGGUGGGGGAUGGACGCGCGGCUUAUCAGCUUGUUGGGGGGGUACUGGCUUACCAAGGGUUUGACGGGUAGCCGGCCUGGGAGGGUGACCGGCGACAUUGGGACUGAGGUACGGCCCAGACUCGUACGGGAGGCAGCAGUGGGGAAUAUUGUACAAUGGGCGGAAGCCUGAGGCAGCAACGCCGCGUGCGGGAUGACGGCCUUCGGGUUGUAAACCGCUUUCGCCUGUGACGAAGCGGGAGUGACGGUAAUGGGUAAAGAAGCACCGGCUAACUACGUG
rnacentral:rRNA from 1 species